rnacentral:rRNA from 1 species
GUCGAGGGGUAUAGUAGCAAUACUAGAGACCGGCGCACGGGUGCGUAACGCGUAUGCAAUCUACCUUUUGCAGAGGGAUAGCCCAGAGAAAUUUGGAUUAAUACCUCAUAGUAUAACGACUCGGCAUCGAGAUGUUAUUAAAGUCACAACGGCAAAAGAUGAGCAUGCGUCCCAUUAGUUAGUUGGUAAGGUAACGGCUUACCAAGACUACGAUGGGUAGGGGUCCUGAGAGGGAGAUCCCCCACACUGGUACUGAGACACGGACCAGACUCCUACGGGAGGCAGCAGUGAGGAAUAUUGGACAAUGGGCGCAAGCCUGAUCCAGCCAUGCCGCGUGCAGGAUGACGGUCCUAUGGAUUGUAAACUGCUUUUGCACAGGAAGAAACAACGCUACGUGUAGCGUCUUGACGGUACUGUGAGAAUAAGGAUCGGCUAACUCCGUGCCAGCAGCCGCGGUAAUACGGAGGAUCCAAGCGUUAUCCGGAAUCAUUGGGUUUAAAGGGUCCGUAGGCGGUCUUAUAAGUCAGUGGUGAAAUCUCCCCGCUCAACGGGGAAACGGCCAUUGAUAUUGUAGGACUUGAAUUAUUAGGAAGUAACUAGAAUAUGUAGUGUAGCGGUGAAAUGCUUAGAGAUUACAUGGAAUACCAAUUGCGAAGGCAGGUUACUACUAAUGGAUUGACGCUGAUGGACGAAAGCGUGGGUAGCGAACAGGAUUAGAUACCCUGGUAGUCCACGCCGUAAACGAUGGAUACUAGCUGUUGGGGGCAACCUCAGUGGCUAAGCGAAAGUGAUAAGUAUCCCACCUGGG